rnacentral:rRNA from 1 species
GACGAACGCUGGCGGCGUGCUUAACACAUGCAAGUCGAACGGAAAGGCCCUGCUUUUGUGGGGUGCUCGAGUGGCGAACGGGUGAGUAACACGUGAGUAACCUGCCCUUGACUUUGGGAUAACUUCAGGAAACUGGGGCUAAUACCGGAUAGGAGCUCCUGCUGCAUGGUGGGGGUUGGAAAGUUUCGGCGGUUGGGGAGGGACUCGCGGCUUAUCAGCUUGUUGGUGGGGUAGUGGCUUACCAAGGCUUUGACGGGUAGCCGGCCUGAGAGGGUGACCGGACACAUUGGGACUGAGAUACGGCCCAGACUCCUACGGGAGGCAGCAGUGGGGAAUAUUGCACAAUGGGCGGAAGCCUGAUGCAGCAACGCCGCGUGCGGGAUGACGGCCUUCGGGUUGUAAACCGCUUUCGCCUGUGACGAAGCGUGAGUGACGGUAAUGGGUAAAGAAGCAGCGGCUAACUACGUG